rnacentral:rRNA from 1 species
CCUACGGGAGGCAGCAGUGGGGGAUAUUGCACAAUGGGGGGAACCCUGAUGCAGCGACGCCGCGUGGGUGAAGGAGUGCUUCGGCAUGUAAAGCCCUAUCGGCAGGGAAGAAGCAAGACGGUACCUGACUAAGAAGCCCCGGCUAACUACGUGCCAGCAGCCGCGGUAAUACGUAGGGGGCGAGCGUUAUCCGGAUUCACUGGGUGUAAAGGGAGCGUAGACGGCAGGGCAAGUCUGGAGUGAAAGGCAGGGGCCCAACCCCUGGACUGCUCUGGAAACUGUCCGGCUGGAGUGCAGGAGAGGUAAGUGGAAUUCCUAGUGUAGCGGUGAAAUGCGUAGAUAUUAGGAGGAACACCAGUGGCGAAGGCGGCUUACUGGACUGUAACUGACGUUGAGGCUCGAAAGCGUGGGGAGCAAACAGGAUUAGAUACCCCGGUAGUC